rnacentral:tmRNA from 1 species
AAAAAAAAGUAAAUGCGAACAAUAUCGUAAAAUUUGCUCGUCGGGAAGCUCUAGUAGCUGCCUAAGAAACCUCUUUCAGGUUCGAGCGUCUUUAAUUUGACUCCGUUAAGGAUUAAAGACCUAACCCCCAACGGAUGCUCCAACAAGCGUUCUCUGGUUGGCUUGAAGGCUAAGAUUAAAUCAGAGCAUCCUACGUUCGGGAUAAUGAACGAUUCCCGCCUUGAGGGUCAGAAAGGCUAAACCUGUGAACGAGUGGAGGGUUAAUACCCAAUUUGGACAUGGGUUCGACUCCCAUAAGCUCCAUUU